GGCACCGUCUCCCCCCGACGAUGGCUGCGACGGUUCUUGUCUUGUCCCUGCCAGCUCCCUCUGCGGGACGUGCUUGCACGCCAGGCCCGCUGGAUCCUGAGAACACAGGUGCUGUUGUUGCUCACGGCGACUUGGGCUAUUGUCAUCCUCUCCCUCACCCCUACAAGGACGGCUUCUAUGAGAACGACAAGGUGCCAACCAGCCAGACACCGGAAGCAGGCCAGGGGGCGAGUCCGAUGUCAG